rnacentral:rRNA from 1 species
GAGUAACGCGUGAGGAACCUGCCUCAAAGAGGGGGACAACAGUUGGAAACGACUGCUAAUACCGCAUAAGCCCACGGCUCGGCAUCGAGCAGAGGGAAAAGGAGCAAUCCGCUUUGAGAUGGCCUCGCGUCCGAUUAGCUAGUUGGUGAGGUAACGGCCCACCAAGGCGACGAUCGGUAGCCGGACUGAGAGGUUGAACGGCCACAUUGGGACUGAGACACGGCCCAGACUCCUACGGGAGGCAGCAGUGGGGAAUAUUGCACAAUGGGGGAAACCCUGAUGCAGCGACGCCGCGUGGAGGAAGAAGGUCUUCGGAUUGUAAACUCUUGUUGUUGAGGAAGAUAAUGACGGUACUCAACAAGGAAGUGACGGCUAACUACGUGCCAGCAGCCGCGGUAAAACGUAGGUCACAAGCGUUGUCCGGAAUUACUGGGUGUAAAGGGAGCGCAGGCGGGAGAACAAGUUGGAAGUGAAAUCCAUGGGCUCAACCCAUGAACUGCUUUCAAAACUGUUUUUCUUGAGUAGUGCAGAGGUAGGCGGAAUUCCCGGUGUA